rnacentral:tRNA from 1 species
GGGUAUAGCUCAGUGGUACAGCACAUGGUUAGCAUGCAUGAAGUCCUGGGUUCAAUCCUCAGUACCUCCA